UAUCCCGGUGCAAUGAGACUA
rnacentral:misc_RNA from 1 species